GUUACAUCAUAGUAAAUUAUAAAAGAAAUUGCCGCGUGUAAGUCGCCAUAAUAUGAAGUUUUCAACACUAAAUUAGACAAUGAAAUAUCUUAUCCUUAUUUUCCUCAUUAUUUUCCGUGUCAAGGCAUCUAGAGUGCUUUGCAGAGAAAAGGCAAAACAGUUCUGUGCUAAGAGCUUUAAUACUAUUGCCACACCCGAUACAGAAAAAUUCUGCAGGUUAGGAGCCAGGCACUAU